AUUGAACGCUGGCGGCAGGCCUAACACAUGCAAGUCGAGCGGAGCGGCGGACGGGUGAGUAAUGCCUAGGAAUCUGCAUGGUAGUGGGGGAUAACGUCCGGAAACGGGCGCUAAUACCGCAUACUAUCAGAUGAGCCUAGGUCGGUUGAGCGAGUUGGUGGGGAAAAGGCCUACAAAGGCGACGACCCGUAACUGGGCUGAGAGGAUGAUCAGUCACCGCGGAACUGAGACACGGACCAGACUACUACGAGAGGCAGGAGUGGGGAAUAUUGGACAAUGGGCGAAAUCCUAGUACAGCCAUGCGGCGUGUGUGAAGAAGGUCUUCGGAUUGUAAAGCACUUUCAGUAGGGAGGCGUUACCAACAGAAUAAGCACCGGCUAACUUCGUGCCAGCAGCCGCGGUAAUUC
rnacentral:rRNA from 1 species